rnacentral:rRNA from 1 species
UCGCUACUACCGAUUGAAUGAUUUAGUGAAUUGCAGGGACUUUGCUGGUUGUUGGUUUCCUUCAGCCGGCAUCGGAACUGCCGUAAACUUGACCAUUUAGAGGAAGUAA